ACGGCCAUACCACAUUGAAAGACUGGUACUUGUCCGAUCACCGAAGUUAAGUAACGUCGAUCCUGGUCAGUAGCUAGAUGGGUGACCGCUUAGAAAUACCAGUUGCUGUCU